CUAGUGUAACAGUUCACAGCCCUGGUUACUGUGGAUUUUAGUAGGCUGUAGUUACACUACCAUCCUCUGGGGGCUCUACUCGCUUAUAAACUAGAGAAGAUAGCACUGUAAAGGAGUAGAGGAAGGGAUGGCUUUGUUAGGAAGAAGCAGGCGCUGCGUCCCAAAUCGCAUACUCAAUGAGUAGGUACUCAAUUUCAGUAGGUACGUACUCAACGGGGCUAAAUGGGUACGUACUGUUUUCCCUGAAUGGGUGUAGUAUGAAUGCGAUCGGCCGUUGUCCGCCAUAUUGAUGAUCUUCUUUUCCUUUUUAAUGGCGGGGAGCAAAUUACGGUUGUGGUGCAUAUCCGCCACCUACUGUACUGGAGUGUACAUGGCCAGAGAUUAAUUAUGCGACGUAAUAACAAGCGCAACAACUUAAGCUGUGAGAGACAGGUGCAUUAACAUCAGUAACGCUACAACUUUACCUUCCAUGAGUUUUCCCAGCAUUUGCAACAUGUUUGUAAUGCCUUCACAAAGGAGACGUCGGAUAACUGCUCGACGAUCUCGCCUUAGGAGAGCACUGCUGAUUUUAUUGUCAAGGAAUGCGUUGAACCCCACAUCCUACUGCCAUCUCGCAGCGGACCACCGUCGCCACCUUCGUGAUUUUAACGAGUGUGCUCAUCUGUCCCUGUAACAGUCAAACAAGAUUCAAGUGACCUCUGUGGUUUGUGCUCAAUACUCCAUUUAAAUGUGUAGGUAGUUGCACAUGUGUUAAACUCGCUGUUAUUCAACUCAAAUUUUCAUGAGUUCAUCAUCAGUAGGCUACUAAUGGACAAAUAAAAUAUAUACAUUAUGUUUAGUGACUUAAGUAAAUAUGUUUAUUUACAUGACUUAUAUGUAUCUAUGCCAGCAGUGAACAAUGCUUUGUACCACAUAUUAACAGACGUAAGCUCCAUAACUGUGAUGUGCAUUUCAUAUUGUGAUGUGCUCAUUUUCAAUACUUCUCGAGAAAUGACAUGUCACAUGUUACACAGACAUUAAAAAGCGUCUGUAACUUGCGUAUGGUUUUAAUAUAUGUAACGUUAAGUCUACUUCGAAGACGCGUGUGUGCGUGGAACGCCCCUUUAUGCUAUACAUAUUAAAACACUGCACUUUCACAGCAAAAUCACAAAUAUACUUUACUAUGUAGCAUCUUACAGGUUAACUUUACGCUACAGCACUUUAACAAAUGCGACUGCAACGCAAAGAAACACGUUGUUGGCUAGUAAUAGUCACUUUUGAAAACACCUGCCUCGCAGUUCUCCGCCAUGCUCCUGUAAGAAUUUAUCCUGUCCCGUGGGCUCAUGGGAUAGAGAAGUAUCCCAAGUAUCUGUCGCUGGGUGCUUCAGAAUGUGGGCGUAACCAGUAAGCCAUCCGGGAAUUUCUCACCUACUCUUUUAUGAAUACUGAGGAUCGGGACAUACUAUAUUGUUUUCACAUACUAUAUAGUAGGUAAGUAGGCGGUUUCGGACGCCACAGUAGUAUACACAUGUCCAAAUCUCGCGAGAAAUAGUGCACCAGGCGUAAAUUUCUCGCCUACUGUUUUAUGAAUACUGAGGUUUGGGACAUACUACUCUUUCGCCUACUGCUUUUUGCCUACUAUAGCCUAUAGUAUGACAGUAUGCGGUUUGGGACGCAGCAAGGGUCUGUUCACAUGCUACCUACAAACAUAUAGAGUCCGGAUUGAGAAACCUUUUCUUGUUUCAAGCUCAAUCUAUAAGGACUCUUUGGUGUAGGCAGUUGUUCCCUACUGCUACAUAAAGCAAGGAUAUGGAUUAAAGGGGCAAUGCUGAGGUUCAUACGGCACCUUCUAUCAUGAACCAUUGAACUGUUUGGAGCACUUGGUGGAAACUGAUGUUUGAACACGACAUUGAGAAUAAUUGGACAGGAUAUCGUCACUAUCUUCAUUUCCCUCUUCAUUCACGAUAAGUACAGCGUUAUGAGGACACAAAAGAACGUUUUGGACAUUGUUUAUUGGACUUUGAGUCGAUAAUGUUACCAUCACUGUUUUAUUGCUUCAUCUCAUGUAAUAAUGUAUCUGUCUCAUGUCUUUGCUUCAUAUGAUUAAUAAUAAUCUGAUAAAUGAAAAUUAUGGUUGGUGGAUCCCUCCCUCAUAAAUAUAUGUAAUGUCACUUUUUCUUGAUAUAUAGAGAGAAGAAUAUUACACUAGAAACAUGUUAAUUGACUGCAUUUUGUGUGAAAACAACAUGAAUUGUGUUAAUGGCAUGGUCACAACAGACGGAUGUUGUGCUAAUUGUGUUUAGAGUUUUGAAAAUGUGACUACAGAUCGGUCAAAGGGAUGUUAGCAAUUGAAAAAAACUGUAAUAGAUCUAAACAACAAAUGUUAUAUACGAAGUUAUAUGUAUAGGCUAUAUGUCUGAAUUAAUUCUUGCACUGAUCUUUCAGCACAUAAGAGCAAAAAUAAAUAA